UACAGAGGUCCCGAGCGUUGUUCGGAUUCACUGGGCGUAAAGGGUGCGUAGGUGGCAAGGUAAGUUUGAUGUGAAAUCUCCGAGCUUAACUCGGAAAAUGCAUUGAAUACUAUCUGGCUAGAGGUUUGGGGGGGGACUGGAAUUCUUGGUGUAGCAGUGAAAUGCGUAGAUAUCAAGAGGAACACCAGUGGCGAAGGCGAGUCCCUGGACAACACCUGACACUGAGGCACGAAAGCUAGGGGAGCAAACAGG
rnacentral:rRNA from 1 species